UCAACCUACUUCUGUUCGGUAGCGUGGAUAUCUUCCUGCAGCAUUGGUUCAAUUGAUUGAAGGUAGAAAAUCGGGCAGUUGUGUUUCCUCCCGCACGCUUUGUAGCUGGACCGUGAUUCUGUUUGCGUAUUCUGUUUUUAUUGUGUAUGCAGACUUCAUGGGAGAAAUGCUCUCUGUAUUUUCAGUUAGACGGGGAAGUGAAUAUCAAUAUUAAGUAGAUAAUUCGGGGACUGUGGAAGCCUGGAUGAUACAGUCCGUGCUUUGUCGCUGUCCCUCGUAAUUCAAAACACGCCGACAUUGCGCAGAGGAGAAGUUCAUCAUCACAAGAGAAGAAGCUAGUCAGAGACAAUCGCUUUAUUGAUAAGAGACCUGGAUUGUUAUUUAUCCGGAGAUUAAAAUUUCAAGUUUCGAUUCUUGUGAUUAGCAUUCCUGUGAACAAUAUUUGAUUCAAGGUGUUUAAGAAUAUUCUGAAUAUGGUCUUGUGUUCAAAGAAAAAUCGGACUUUAUUAAAUGAAAGAUAGUGGAAGAACCAGUGUUGAUUAGUUACGUUGAGGAUUAUGCAGCUUGACGUGGCAUUUUCACACCAAUAAUGUGUAUUGUGUUACCUGUACAGAACUUUUGCUGAGAUGUAUUUCUAGGCAUCGAUUCCUCGGAAUCACUGCGUGGGCAUUUCCUUCUGUUUUGAGCUCUUUGUGUGAUCCAAAGUUCACAAAACGUAUUAAAUGUCGUAUUCAGAAACCGAAAAAGGGACGACUUUAAAUCUUUUUACGUUGACCACCAGACAAUAUGAAAAUGUUUCGCUUUCACAUGCGAUCUUGCUCUCAAAUUCUACAUCGAAUGUGACGACGGUAAGAACGAUGAACGAGAGCACAUAUUCCCCCGGUGAAGCGGCGAUUGGUGUAGUGCUUGCUAUGUUUUCGUUUAUAACCAUUGCGGGAAACGUGUUGGUGAUCACGGCUGUGACAAAAGAAAUUUACUUACGGACUGUUACCAAUUAUUUCAUAGUCUCUCUGGCGGUGGCGGAUCUGAUGGUUGGAAGUAUAGUGAUGCCUUUUGCAAUAACCCUGGAAAUGACAGGACAAGUUUGGUUGUUUGGUCCGGAGUGGUGUGAUAUGUGGCAUUCAUUUGACGUCCUUGCAAGUACAGCUUCCAUUCUCAACCUUUGUGGAAUAUCUUUAGACCGCUACUGGGCAAUCACUGACCCUAUCAAGUAUGCUUCAAGAAUGACCUCGUGUCGGACAUGGCUGUCGAUAGCUUUAGUCUGGUUGUUGUCCGCUGGGAUUUCUUUUCCCGCCAUUGCGUGGUGGAAAGCCGUGACACCGGGUACACAGUCUGAAGACGAGUGUAUAUUUACUUCCGACAGUGCCUAUUUGAUCAUUUCAUCUUGUGUUUCUUUCUAUUUUCCGUCAUUCAUAAUGAUGUUUGUCUACUGGAAAAUAUAUAUGGCGGCAACAGCACAAAUACGAAGUUUAAAAGUUGGACAAAAAGUGUUAACUUCUAACGGUGCCAGUGGGAAUCGUGAAGUGAUGACGUUGCGGAUACACCGGGGAGGAGGUCAUCCAAGUUCGGCAAAUAUGAGUCGGCAGCCCUCGGACGAGUAUUCUCAAUCUUUUGAAAAAUGUCUCACAGAAAGUGAAAAAGAAACUUUGGUAACCAACGGGAAGAGAAGCUCUGACACUUCUACCCAUCGACCGGCCAGAUGCAUCACAAAGCGCAUUCGUCAGUUUGCGAUUAGCAAAAAGCUGACCAAGGUGGCCCGCGAGCAGAAAGCAGCCAAAACUCUGGGGAUAGUCGUAGGAGUGUUUAUUUUGUGCUGGGUACCAUUUUUUGUGUUCAAUAUGUUGGAAGCAAUAUGCCAUGACCAUUGUUUGUCACAUAAGGACAUCUUAUUUCCGUUGUUUACAUGGCUGGGAUAUAUAAAUUCAGGAAUGAACCCUAUUAUUUACACAUUGUCGAUGAAAGACUUUCGGCGAGCUUUCGGAAAAAUCAUAUUUUGUCUCUGUCCUAAGAAUAAGUUUCAAUAUCACAACACGUACCAAUCAAAGAAAUGCUCUUCCACCUCAAGCUUUGUGGUGACGUCACAGACAGAACGAGGGUGACCUUUCAGAACGAGGCUGAACUCAUAGUUAUCAUGUGAUAUUAUCUGUAGAUUCAGGUGAUCUACAAAAAUAAAUGUGUGAUUUGUUGUGUAA